UACGGGGGGAGCAAGCGUUGUUCGGAUUUACUGGGCGUAAAGGGCGCGUAGGCGGUCAGCACAAGUCAGUUGUGAAAUCUCCGAGCUUAACUCGGAAAGGUCAACUGAUACUGUGCGACUAGAGUGCGGAAGGGGCAACUGGAAUUCUUGGUGUAGCGGUGAAAUGCGCAGAUAUCAGGAGGAACACCGGUGGCGAAGGCGGGCCUC
rnacentral:rRNA from 1 species